rnacentral:rRNA from 1 species
AGCAGCCGCGGUAAUUCCAGCUCCAAUAGCGUAUAUUAAAGUUGUUGCAGUUAAAAAGCUCGUAGUUGAAUUUCGGGACCAAUCUGCCGGUCGUGCCUCCGGUACGCACUGGUUUUAUUGGUUUCUCCCUUCUGACGAACCAUGAUGUCAUUAAUUUGGUGUCAUGGGGAAUCAGGACUGUUACUUUGAAAAAAUUAGAGUGUUUAUAGCAGGCUCACGCUUGAAUACAUUAGCAUGGAAUAAUGAAAUAGGACGUUUGACCCUAUUUUGUUGGUUUCUAGGAUCGACGUAAUGAUUAAUAGGGAUAGUUGGGGGCAUUAGUAUUCAAUUGUCAGAGGUGAAAUUCUUGGAUUUAUUGAAGACUAACUACUGCGAAAGCAUUUGCCAAGGAUGUUUUCAUUAAUCAAGAACGAAAGUUAGGGGAUCGAAGACGAUCAGAUACCGUCGUAGUCUUAACCAUAAACUAUGCCGACUAGGGAUCGGAUGAUGUAAUUUUUAAUGACUCAUUCGCGCCUUAAC